UACAGCGGUCUCGAGCGUUGUUCGGAUUCAUUGGGCGUAAAGGGUGCGUCGGUGGCGCGGUAAGUCGGGUGUGAAAUCUCGGAGCUUAACUCCGAAAUUGCAUUCGAUACUGCCGUGCUCGAGGACUGGAGAGGAGACUGGAAUUCAUGGUGUAGCAGUGAAAUGCGUAGAGAUCAUGAGGAAGACCAGUGGCGAAGGCGGGUCUCUGGACAGUUCCUGACACUGAGGCACGAAGGCCAGGGGAGCAAACGGG
rnacentral:rRNA from 1 species